ACCAUUAGCUACCAGCUCCAUUCCAGCUGCUCUUCGUGUUCCUCUGCUCAGUACGGCAUGGGCGAGUUGAGCCCCUCCUGGAUGGCCAUGGGGUGCGGCUGGCUGUGCCGCUUCGACAGUGACGUCAUGGCCAGCGUCUUCCUGAACGAGGCGCGCCGCUCCAGGCGCUUGACGGUGAAGCGCGUGUAGGCCACGCGGAUGUACGGCGCGGCGGCCUCCUUGACCUUGAGCACGACGAAGAAGGUGACGCGGUAGGCGAAGAGGAGGACGAAGAUCAUGGCGAGGUCCAGCCACUUGGAGUGGUUCAGGCUCAGCCCCAUCAUCUCGGUGAUGAUGU
rnacentral:lncRNA from 1 species